rnacentral:pre_miRNA from 1 species
AAAUAAGCUAACCUAGGAUAUGAUGGGACAUUACCUAUCUAGAUUCGUUGUACUAGGUAAUGCCCUAUCGUAUCCUAGGUUGGUUUAUUU